AAGGCGUAUCCGAAAAGCCUGAAAAGAGUAGGAA
rnacentral:ncRNA from 1 species